UUUAACAAGAAAAGUUGGUAAUGCAUACUUUCUUACCUUAUGUUUGAGUUCUCUUGUGUGCCUUUGUACGUUAUAAUGAUGUGACAUUGAUGUAGGAGGUUGCCUCCCCUGUGAGGUGAACUCAUGAUAUCUUGCAGUUAGUUGUGCUUUAUGCUGAACAUUACAAACACGCAAAGAUGGGCACUUGGAACAAGCAGAAGGUGAUAUAGUCUGAGAGGUGGGCCACUCAAGAAAGGGAUACAACAGCAACAACAUCAUAGGAACAGAUAUCGUCAGCUGCUAUUUUAAGCUGUUGAAGACUGUGCCCUAAAUCAUGCAUUGAAAAUAAAGCAUAUAUACAGGCUUGUGGAGCAGGGGAGGGAGAGAGAUUUUUUCACAUG